GGUUGAAUCGGUAUGUAUUUAUGAACAUUUCAGGGACUUACCAGGUAUAGCUAGGGGUGAUUAUCGGUUGGAUAAACUAUCCUACCCGUCUAUUCGGCGACGUCGAGUUAAGUAAAUAGGUGUCUUGUACUUAUCUUGUAUCGUUGAGGUCAGGCUUUUGUCCCCCUCAACAACUGUUCUGAGGCAAUAAAAUCCAAGCAUCUUGGUUUAAA
rnacentral:lncRNA from 1 species